rnacentral:rRNA from 1 species
GACGAACGCUGGCGGCGUGCUUAACACAUGCCAGUCGAACGGAAAGGCCCUGCUUUUGUGGGGUGCUCGAGUGGCGAACGGGUGAGUAACACGUGAGUAACCUGCCCUUGACUUUGGGAUAACUUCAGGAAACUGGGGCUAAUACCGUAUAGGAGCUCCUGCUGCAUGGUGGGGGUUGGAAAGUUUCGGCCGUUGGGGAUGGACUCGCGGCUUAUCGGCUUGUUGGUGGGGUAGUGGCUUACCAAGGCUUUGACGGAUCGCCGGCAUGGGAGGGUGACCGGGGUCAAUAGGACUAAGAUAGGGCGCAGACUCGAACGGGGGGCAGCGGGCGGAAGUAUUACCCAAUGAGAGGGAGCCUGAGAAGAAGGCGCCGCGUGCGGAAUGACGGCCUGCUGGUUGAGAAAAGCUGCAGCCUAAGACGAAGCGGGAGUGACGGUACUGAAUGAAGAAGCACCGGCUAACUACGUG